AAACUUUCAACAACGGAUCUCUUGGUUCUCGCAUCGAUGAAGAACGCAGCGAAAUGCGAUACGUAAUGUGAAUUGCAGAAUUC
rnacentral:rRNA from 1 species